rnacentral:rRNA from 1 species
UCUGGGAGUAAACGGGUGGUACCCGAAAGUUCGAAAGGGGAGAUUCAAGUCUCGCCGCGCGCCGGGCGGCGGACGCGAGCAGAGAUGGUGUUUUCUGCGGUCGAGGGGCAACCCUUGGUUCGUGGGAGCGCCACUCCGCGGCCGCUGUCUUUCCCGGCGUCGGAGUGACGCACUUCUCCCCGAGUAGGACGUCGCGACCCGUCGAGCGCUGGCCUAAGGCCGCGGGUGGAGUCUACGAGGUCUGCUUCUCCGCGAGGGGUGGCCGACCGCGCAUGACCCCGCGAGUCCCGGCCGGGAGCUCGACGGUACGAAGCAUGGAAGGAGUCGACGCGCCAUAAUUUUUUUGGCGUCCGGCCCUCCGCAAGCGCCCGCGGGAGUCCGGGCUGCGGGCCUGGCCCGAUCCCGGUCCCUCCGCGGGGCUGUUUGCGAGAAGGAGGUGUCCUCGGACGGCGUUGAUUCUCCAGUCGGCGACGCUUCAGCUUGGAUGGCCUACCCGACCC